UGGCUCAGAUUGAACGCUGGCGGCAUGCUUUACACAUGCAAGUCGAGCGGCAGCGCGGGGGCAACCCUGGCGGCGAGCGGCGAACGGGUGAGGAAUACAUCGGAACGUGCCCGAGAGUGGGGAUAACGCCGCGAAAGCGGCGCUAAUACCGCAUAUUCUCUGAGGAGGAAAGUGGGGGACCGCAAGGCCUCACGCUCACGGAGCGGCCGAUGUCGGAUUAGCUAGUUGGUGGGGUAAAGGCUUACCAAGGCGACGAUCCGUAGCUGGUCUGAGAGGAUGAUCAGCCACACUGGGACUGAGACACGGCCCAGACUCCUACGGGAGGCAGCAGUGGGGAAUUUUGGACAAUGGGGCAACCCUGAUCCAGCCAUGCCGCGUGCGGGAAGAAGGCCUUCGGGUUGUAAACCGCUUUUAACCGGGAAGAAAAGGCAUCUCUUAAUACGGGGUGUUCUUGACGGUACCGGUGGAAUAAGCACCGGCUAACUACGUG
rnacentral:rRNA from 1 species